AUGCACGCUGGCGGCGUGCCUAAUCCAUGCAAGUCGAGCGAACGGACGAGAAGCUUGCUUUUCUGAUGUUAGCGGCGGACGGGUGAGUAACACGUGGAUAACCUACCUAUAAGACUGGGAUAACUUCGGGAAACCGGAGCUAAUACCGGAUAAUAUUUUGAACCGCAUGGUUCAAAAGUGAAAGACGGUCUUGCUGUCACUUAUAGAUGGAUCCGCGCUGCAUUAGCUAGUUGGUAAGGUAACGGCUUACCAAGGCAACGAUGCAUAGCCGACCUGAGAGGGUGAUCGGCCACACUGGAACUGAGACACGGUCCAGACUCCUACGGGAGGCAGCAGUAGGGAAUCUUCCGCAAUGGGCGAAAGCCUGACGGAGCAACGCCGCGUGAGUGAUGAAGGUCUUCGGAUCGUAAAACUCUGCUAUUAGGGAAGAACAUAUGUGUAAGUAACUGUGCACAUCUUGACGGUACCUAAUCAGAAAGCCACGGCUAACUACGUG
rnacentral:rRNA from 1 species